GACGAACGCUGGCGGCGUGCCUAAUACAUGCAAGUAGAACGCUGAAGGAGGAGCUUGCUUCUCUGGAUGAGUUGCGAACGGGUGAGUAACGCGUAGGUAACCUGCCUGGUAGCGGGGGAUAACUAUUGGAAACGAUAGCUAAUACCGCAUAAUAGUAGAUGUUGCAUGACAUUUGCUUAAAAGGUGCAAUUGCAUCACUACCAGAUGGACCUGCGUUGUAUUAGCUAGUUGGUGGGGUAACGGCUCACCAAGGCGACGAUACAUAGCCGACCUGAGAGGGUGAUCGGCCACACUGGGACUGAGACACGGCCCAGACUCCUACGGGAGGCAGCAGUAGGGAAUCUUCGGCAAUGGACGGAAGUCUGACCGAACAACGCCGCGUGAGUGAAGAAGGUUUUCGGAUCGUAAAGCUCUGUUGUAAGAGAAGAACGAGUGUGAGAGUGGAAAGUUCACACUGUGACGGUAGCUUACCAGAAAGGGACGGCUAACUACGUG
rnacentral:rRNA from 1 species